ACUUGACUCCCACACCCAUAUCCUUAGCCCUAACCUCUUCAUCGGUGCCCUCUCACCGCGCCUCCUCCUCUCGACGUCCCUGUCAUGCUUCGUUCUUUGUAUUUUGCUCAUCCCUUAUAUUUUGCCGCGCCUCUGUCCCUCUCUCCCUCGCCGCGUCUCGCCUACAUGCCUCCGUGCUUCGAUGCUUCCCUCGCCUCACCGCGCCGUGCCUCCGUCCCUCCCUCACCGCGCCGCCCCUCCAUCCCUCGCGGCUGGUUUCGUUGCCUCGCGCCUACUCCCAUGGCUUCCAUUUCAGACAGAGCCAGAACUAGGUUGGAUGCAGGGACUUGGGGGGUUGGCCUUGGUUAUUGCAUUUUGGCUGUAGUGGCUUGUCCGGAUCGACUUGUUGUUGCAGUUAAAGGGGAUUCUGGAUCCUGAUUUAAUGUCAUUGAAGUUGAGACAACCAUCAUAUGUUGCUCUACGGGUUUGAACUUUCUUGGUUGAAAGCAUAUUGCAAGAAUGAAGAUCCAGGAUAUGCCAAGCUCAGUGAUUAUAAAGUCAUUUGUUAUAAGCCUCCACUUAUGCCGAACAUUUUUCUACUUUCACUGAUUGUUGGGUAUCUGUUGUAUGGAGGCUAUAUUGCUCUGUCUUCUAAGAAAAACUUUGAAGCGGUAGUCUUGUAGCUGUUAAGAUAUUGAAUAAGGCCAAAUCCAAUGGCCAGGAGUUCAUCAAUGAAGUUGCUACCAUUGGAAGAAUUCACCAUGUUAAUGUGGUGCAACUCAUUAGUUUCUGUGUGGAGGGAUCAAAGCGUUGUUUGGUGUAUGAGUUAAUGCAAAAUGGCUCUUUAGAGAAAUACAUAUUUUCACCUCAAGAGAGUGCUUCAAAUUCCUUAAGUUGUGAAAAACUAUACAACAUUUCUCUUGGAGUGGCACCUGGUAUUGAGCAUCUGCAUAAUGGUUGCGACAUGGUUUAAUCCAAGAAUGUGCAGAAAAAUUUUUGGACUGUUGUCUUAUAUGUCUUGUCUUUUAUUGAUAUUUGAAAAAAUAUGUAUUUUUUGUUCUAACUUAAACAUAAAAAAAUUCAUGCUUUUAAUAUACUUGCUUUUGAAUUUUUGUAAGUUAAAUUGGUUCUCUUGUUUAAGAAAUU